rnacentral:lncRNA from 1 species
CAAAUCUCUUAUGCAAGGAAAGAGGGCUAAAAUGUUUUCUGUUGAUCUACAACUGAAGGGGCCAUUUCAAGGAUCCAUAUUUAUCACCAGGAAGAUGGUGUUACUCUCAUAUGAGGGACCCUAGAAGAUGUUAUGUGUUGCAGAAAACCCUCUGCACAGCCAGCCCUUGGAGAAAAAAUGGAGAAUGUAUGUGUGGCAAUCUCAACCACCAAGAUUACCCAACCAGCAGGUCACAGUACUAAUAAACGGCAUGAAGCUAAUGGUUACCUCUCUGAGCUCCUCUUCUAACUGUAGAAGCCAAAGAUUUGAAGUGAGAUUUUCAGUUCAACUCUUGAGUACAGUUACCAACAUUGAGCAGACUUGUUCUUCAAACUCUGCUAUUCACAUAUCAAUGGAAAGUUCAAGCUUGCAGCUGUUCGACAACCAAGGUAUCACUCUGCGGUAUUCUCUUGGUUCAACAACUAAGAUAUCACUGUAUGACACAGUCUUCUAUUCUCUUUUCAAAUAAACUAUUAACACUAUAACACCCAGUUUCUAUACUUCAGCUGCAUUACUCUCCAUAUUCCCUUUUAUUCUAGCUACAGUUGUCUUCCAAUCAUUUCAUUUCUAUAUUGUAAGAAUGUACAGUAGUCCUCCUUUAUCUGUAGAAGAAGCGUUUCUAGGCACCUGGUUCCUGCCGGAAGCCACAAUGUAC